CAGAAAAUAAUAUAUAAAAUUAUAUAGAUUUUGGGGAUCUAAAAUGUUCAAACUUUUCUGA
rnacentral:tRNA from 1 species